rnacentral:rRNA from 1 species
ACAGCAGCCGCCGCGGGAAUACAGAGGGUGCGAGCGUUAAUCGGAUUUACUGGGCGUAAAGCGUGCGUAGGCGGCUUCUUAAGUCGGAUGUGAAAUCCCUGAGCUUAACUUAGGAAUUGCAUUCGAUACUGGGAAGCUAGAGUAUGGGAGAGGAUGGUAGAAUUCCAGGUGUAGCGGUGAAAUGCGUAGAGAUCUGGAGGAAUACCGAUGGCGAAGGCAGCCAUCUGGCCUAAUACUGACGCUGAGGUACGAAAGCAUGGGGAGCAAACAGGAUUAGAUACCCGAGUAGUCCCUGUCUCUUAUAA